GUCCCAGCGGUGGAGCAUGUGGUUUAUUUCGAUGCAACGCGAAGAACCUUUACCUUACUCUUGACAUCCAGCGAAUCCUUUAGAGAUAGAGGUAGUGCCUUCGGGAACGCUGAGACAGGUGCUGCAUGGCUGUCGUCAGCUCGUGUUGUGAAAUGUUGGGUUAAGUCCCGCAACGAGCGCAACCCUUAUCCUUUGUUGCCAGCACGUAAUGGUGGGAACUCAAAGGAGACUGCCGGUGAUAAACCGGAGGAAGGUGGGGAUGACGUCAAGUCAUCAUGGCCCUUACGAGUAGGGCUACACACGUGCUACAAUGGCAGAUACAAAGAGAAGCGACCUCGCGAGAGCAAGCGGAACUCAUAAAGUCUGUCGUAGUCCGGAUUGGAGUCUGCAACUCGACUCCAUGAAGUCGGAAUCGCUAGUAAUCGUAGAUCAGAAUGCUACGGUGAAUACGUUCCCGGGUCUUGUAACACGAAC
rnacentral:rRNA from 1 species